UACGAAGGGGGCUAGCGUUGCUCGGAAUGACUGGGCGUAAAGGGUGCGUAGGCGGGUCUUUAAGUCAGGGGUGAAAUCCUGGAGCUCAACUCCAGAACUGCCUUUGAUACUGAAGAUCUUGAGUUCGGGAGAGGUGAGUGGAACUGCGAGUGUAGAGGUGAAAUUCGUAGAUAUUCGCAAGAACACCAGUGGCGAAGGCGGCUCACUGGCCCGAUACUGACGCUGAGGCACGAAAGCUAGGGGAGCAAACAGG
rnacentral:rRNA from 1 species